GUGGUUGGGGUGGAGUGAUAAAGAGUAGGCCAAUUUCUCUUCACAGAAUCAUGGAAUUUGAAAGUCAGAAGGCACUCCAAAGGCCAUCUAGUCAAACGCAUGAAAGGAACCUCAACCGUACCUUACUUAAUGUCAGGAAGCUGGCCAACUUUGGCUUAUGAAGCCUCCAAAGAAGAACCCGCCACCUCUCCAGGCAAGUUGAUCCACUUUUGGGCAGAGCGAGCUGUACUCAUGCCGAAUGCCUCCCCUGAUGUCCUGUUGUGGGGUAUCCUGAACCUCUGAGAAGUUCUGCUAAUAUGGAGAGUUUGAAUAUGGACCAGGAGAACCCAGGAGUCCUCCUUCCAUGUGAGGAAGCAUAACUUAGUGGAUGGGGUGCUCGACUUGCAGG